UACGGAGGGGACUAGCGUUGUUCGGAAUUACUGGGCGUAAAGCGCACGUAGGCGGCUUUGUUAGUCAGGGGUGAAAUCCCGAGGCUCAACCUCGGAACUGCCUUUGAUACUGCAAAUCUCGAGUCCGGAAGAGGUGAGUGGAAUUCCUAGUGUAGAGGUGAAAUUCGUAGAUAUUAGGAAGAACACCAGUGGCGAAGGCGGCUCACUGGUCCGGUACUGACGCUGAGGUGCGAAAGCGUGGGGAGCAAACAGG
rnacentral:rRNA from 1 species